UACGUAGGGGGCAAGCGUUGUCCGGAUUUAUUGGGCGUAAAGAGCGUGUAGGCGGCCAGACAGGUCCGUUGUGAAAACUCGAGGCUCAACCUCGAGAUGUCGAUGGAAACCGUCUGGCUAGAGUCCGGAAGAGGAGUGUGGAAUUCCUGGUGUAGCGGUGAAAUGCGCAGAUAUCAGGAGGAACACCGGUGGCGAAGGCGGGUCUCUGGGCCGAUGACUGACGCUGAGGCACGAAAGCGUGGGGGAGCAAACAGG
rnacentral:rRNA from 1 species